rnacentral:tRNA from 1 species
CCGACCUUAGCUCAGUUGGUAGAGCGGAAGACUGUAGUGGGUGUAACCCCGGUAGCUAUCUUUAGGUCGCUGGUUCGAAUCCGGCAGGUCGGA